UUACAAUAGUACAUUGUUUUACUGUGAUGAUGUUUUUUUUUUUACAUAGAAUACUGAAUUAAAGCAUAAAGAGUGGUUGUCUUACCAUAGUUUGGGCAGCAGACCUUGAGCCAGCAGACACAGGAGAGCACCGUGAGUUACCUGGCUGCAGUUCUCGUCCCGGUGAACAAAAGAUGGGACAUUUUAUGCAGAGGCCCUAGUCUUGAACCUUUCCAAAAGAUCUGACAACAGUGGGGGAUCAGGGUUUCUUCCUGCAUGUUUUAGUUAUGUCCAUGUUGUCCUCCCCUCUGUGUGUUUAUUGGUUUGGUCAGUGUGUAUAUACAUGUCCCUCAUGUCUCAUUUGAAAGGUCUGUUAAUUGAGUUAACAUCUUGAUUAUGUUAGCCUUAUUUUUUAGUAGAGUUAUGUUUUGUUGACCUUUUUAAUGGCCCUAUAGCUAUUUGCUUUAUUUGCUUGUGGAUCUUUGUUUUGGGGGAAAUAAACCCAACCUUUUGAACUUUAAA